GACGAACGCUGGCGGCGUGCUUAACACAUGCAAGUCGAACGGAAAGGCCCUGCUAGUGUGGGCUUCUCGAGUGGGGAACGGGUGCGUAACACGUGAGUAUCCUGCUCUUGAUUUUCGGAUAAGUUCAGGAAACUGGGGUUAAGCUCGGACAGGAGACCCUGCUCCAUGGUGGGGGUUGGAAAGUUGCGGCAGUUGGGGAUGGACUCGCGGCUUAUGAGUUUGCUAGUGGGGUAGGGGCAUACCAAGGCAUUGGAGGAUACCCGGCCUGGGAGGGUGACCGGCCACAUUAGGACUGAGGUACGGAGCAGACUCCUACAGGGGGCAGAAGGGGGGAGUAUUACACAGUGGGCGGGAGCCUGAUACGGAGGCGCCGCGUGCGGGAUGACGGCCUUCGGGGUGAGAAACGCUGUCGGCUAAGACGAAGCGUGAGUGACGGUAAUGAAUGAAGAAGCACCGGCUAACUACGUG
rnacentral:rRNA from 1 species